GCCAUAUCCCGUUGAAACACCGAAGUUAAGCAACGUUGAGCCUGGUCAGUACCUAGAUAGGUGACUACUUGGGAAUACCACGAGCUGCAAG